GACGAACGCUGGCGGCGUGCUUAACACAUGCAAGUCGAACGGAAUGGCCCUGCUUUUGUGGGGUGCUCGAGUGGCGAACGGGUGAGUAAUACGUGAGUAACCUGCCCUUGACUUUGGGAUAACUUCAGGAAACUGGGGCUAAUACCGGAUAGGAGCUCCUGCUGCAGGGGGGGGGUUGGAAAGUUUCGGCGGUUGGGGAUGGACUCGCGGCUUAUCAGCUGGUUGGUGGGGUAGUGGCUUACCAAGGCUUUGACGGGUAGCCGGCCUGAGAGGGUGACCGGCCACAUUGGGACUGAGAUACGGCCCAGACUCCUACGGGAGGCAGCAGUGGGGAAUAUUGCACAAUGGGCGGAAGCCUGAUGCAGCAACGCCGCGUGCGGGAUGACGGCCUUCGGGUUGUAAACCGCUUUCGCCUGUGACGAAGCGUGAGUGACGGUAAUGGGUAAAGAAGCACCGGCUAACUACGUG
rnacentral:rRNA from 1 species